UACGAAGGGGGCUAGCGUUGCUCGGAUUGACUGGGCGUAAAGGGCGCGUAGGCGGUUCGUACAGUCAGACGUGAAAUUCCUGGGCUCAACCUGGGGGCUGCGUUUGAUACGUGCGGACUUGAGUGCGGAAGAGGGUCGUGGAAUUCCCAGUGUAGAGGUGAAAUUCGUAGAUAUUCGGAAGAACACCAGUGGCGAAGGCGACUUACUGGACACAUAUUGACGCUGAGGUGCGAAAUCGUGGGGAGCAAACAGG
rnacentral:rRNA from 1 species